AUUCAAAAAACAAUUAUUUUAAUUUUCUAUUUAUAAACUACUCAAAGUUAUGGAAUUAAAAACCAAUUGUUAACGAAAAAGCCAGGAAACUCAGUAAAAAUAAUAGCAUAAGAAAUUCUUGCCAAAUAUCGUAAUUUUAUAUAAAUUGGCUUAUUUUAUAUUCAAAUACCCUGAAUACUAAAAGGUACCACCUAGUAGGAAAUGGUAAAAGUUUGCUCAGCGCGUUCGGAAAGGGCUAGAAUUAUGAAAAUUUGCGCAAAUUAAAGAGCGUCUCAAAAAAUAAGGUUUGGAAAAAAAAAUUGGCGAAUUCGUACCGGAGAAAUAGUGCGUUUAGUACCGCAAUUGGCAUUGUUUGGUACUUCCUUUACGGAUUGGCCCCCUUAAUGGUUGACUAUAUCAGUUUUUGGAUAUUUGAAGAUUAAAGCAUCGAAAAGUACAAAAAAUGUACGAAGUAGGUGAGCUUGGCACAGGGCUAUUGGCGUAGCUAGCACCCCCAAAAUUUUCAUCAACGCAUCGCUUAUCACCCCCUUUCAUCCAUCAGCAAUCAUCUUUGCCAUCAUCUCAUCAACAUAAACCAUCAAGAAACAGGUGUUACAAACAAAUACGCUAAGUUGUAAUACCGUGUACCGCAGUAGUGGUGUAGGGUAUUAAAAUAUGCCUAACGUGUCAUGCUAUGGUGUACCGUUAACGAGGCGACCUUAACAGAAUAACCAAAAGGGGAAGGCCAAGACUCGAUGGAAAGACCAAGUGAUGAAAGACAUCUCCAAACUAAGCGUCAAAGAAAAGAAAAGGAGCUCAAAAGAUCGAGGUGCUGGAAAAUCCAUUCUACACAGAAAAAAUAAAAAUCGAGUUCAAUCACGAAAUUAAUUGAUCCAAAUAUUUUUUAGUUGAAACUGCUUCAAUCACGAAAAUGAUAAUAUACAUCAAAGGUGAUAAAAAAUAUUUUUCUAAAUAAAAU